AGAGGAAGAGGAAGAGGAUACGUCAUAAUCGAACAUGGAAGAGAAGAACGAUGAUGUUUUCAAAUGGACAGAUGAGCACACACGUGUGCUUAUCCGGUGGAGAGUGGCUAAUGAGGCUCUCUUCACCGGAAAACUAAAUGCAGCCAUCAAAGGCUUUGAAGCUUUUGUGAUGGAGCAGGGCCUGCAAGACAGGGUGACGGCGGCCUUUGUAAAAAAAAUAAUAAAAUAAAAAAAAUUGGGUAAACCUGAAAAAAUAUAUAAAGAUCUCAAAUGUCCGGCA